GAUAUUGUAACAUUACACAAUCCUCUUCUUGUCCCAAUUAAUUAAAAUUUUUAUUUAUUUAUUAUUCAUUGGUUUCCAGCAUAGCAUGUUACCUUUUGAUUUCCACCAAAUAACAUGUUGGUUUCCAGCACAAAAGCAUGUUACUUUACUUUACAGCAAAGGUCCAUCAUCUUCUCACUUUAUCUUUAAAGUUGUUUAUUAUUUUCAUUAAUUUCUUAUAUUAAACCACCCCCUCUUCAUCCACCAGUUUUCAGAAAGUAAUAUCACACAACAAUCCUAAUCACUUAAUUUCUAAGAAGCUCCAUAAAAUUGGCUCAAGGGAUCAAGCUUAGUUCCUCCUUGCGAUCUAAAGUCCUUUAAACGUUUGAGGUUAUAGCGCUCAGGUUCGCGGUCAGGCAUCUCAUUAGGAUCUCUAUCUUCUGCUAUUGGUGAGCCUCCUUCCCACCUGGAGGUCGGACGAGAUAUGAUGAUUAUUAUAUAUUUUCUUUCAUUUCAGUAUUGGUACUUCAUAGAGGCUUCACAGGCUGGUGUAGUUGUCAAAUAACCUUUGUAAUUUUCAGUUUUCAUUUAUCAUAACUAUUGGUAUUGUGGACCAUUAUGCGGUAUUAAUUAUAUUGGGUGAAGUUUUAUCUCUUCAGAAAAUCAUGAUUUAACUCUAUGUUACUUCCGCUUUAUCAUUUUAAAAUAGAAGUUGCUGGGAAGAUAUACCAGAACGUUCGCCCGUACUAGCUAUAGUAUCGGGUGCGUGUCAUGUCUCGGGCCUCGGCUCGGGGCGUGACAAAAACACUCAAUUCAGGUGUUGAAUCAAAAGAUGAAUAACUUAGAUGAAAAGUUAAAAGGUAGUAAAAUGGGAGGCCUUGAACAUUACUUGGUAAAAGAUCGCCGCAUUUGAAGACCUAGAAAGCGAUUUUGAUAGUUAAGCACGGAAUUCUUGAACAUAAAAUGUAAUUGAAUCAAGUGAAUAAUAUAUAUCAUAGGGGUGUAAGUGUAGACUUUUCAUAAUGUAAAGCGAUAUUGUUUUAUUUCAUGCCAGUUUAUGAUUAUUUUCUUCUUCUUAGUGGUUUGAUUUUGAUUAUUGUAAGAGGGAAGACCUCUUUGUUUUUCCAAUUUGCAAUCAACUCUGCAACUGCAAAUGACUGUAAUGUCGUCUUCAUUUGCAACCAUCAUAAGUUGGUGAACAAACCCCUUAUCUUACUCUGGGUGCUUACUUCAUUUCUAGCCAAUCCCUCUCCACCGAAACCAAUAUUUGUCUACUGUGUGUCGGCAUCAUUUUUGUGUCUGAAUGUUUUUCAGAAACUGCAAAGGAGAGAUACAAUAAUACUUGAGGAAGGGAUUUGGCGAUAGUUCAUGUAGCAAACUUUCCUUGAAUAUUAGUCAUUUGAUGCACCUUUUCUAGUAUUCUCGCUUACUGGUUUUGAAAUCAACAUAUCUUCCUUAGUGAAAAGGGGUCAUGUUGGCUUCUACUAUCUACACAGUCAAAGGUAUAGAGUAAUAACAAGCACAUAUUAUCGAGGUACAGUUGAUGCGAUGCUAGUUUAUGACUUAACAAAAUGCCAAUCAUUUGAUCAUAUGCCUAGAUGGCUGGAGGAACUAAGAGGUCACACAGACAAGAACAUAUACACUUAUAAUGCUCAUUACGAACAAAUGUGAUCUAGGAAGUCGUCGAGCUCUACCAGUUGAAGAUGCUCAAGCAUUUGCAGAAAGGGAGAAUCUUUUCUUUAUGGAAGCAUCAGCCCUUCAAUCCACAAACGUAGAGUGCAUCCAUGACCAUUUUAACAGAAAUUUAUAAAAUCAUUAGCAAGAAUACCCUCACUGCAAACCAGAGAGCUGAUAAUGGAAAGACAAUCUUGAAAGGGAACGAGGAUCAUUGUUCCCUGACCAGAUUCGGAUUCUGAUGGCAAUAGUGGUGGUUGUUGUAUGUCGCUGUGAUUUUUUAUUGAACUCUGGAUGUCUUUUUAUUUAUCCAAAAUAAUAAUAUAACUAGAAAUGAUUUAUAUUUUAUGUAGAACAGGGAGUUGUUGUUGAGGAUGAAGUUGAUUUAGAUAGUUUGUUUAGCUUUGUGUGUAUAUAGUUCAUUAAGGUUGCUCACUGGGCAUCAGGGGUGGUGCCACAAGUCUGUCUACGGGUUCUUCCAUGUAUUUGUGCUUAAGAAUUUCACUUAAUAUGUAUAAACAAUUUAUCGUGAA